AGUUAAUGAUCUUGAUUAAAGUUUAUGUUU
rnacentral:tRNA from 1 species